rnacentral:rRNA from 1 species
CUUUCCAGAGAUGGAUUGGUGCCUUCGGGAACUCUGACACAGGUGCUGCAUGGCGUGUCGUCAGCUCGUGUCGUGAGAUGUUGGGUUAAGUCCGUACGAGCGCAACCCUUGUCCUUAGUUACCAGCACGUUAUGGUGGGCACUCUAAGGAGACUGCCGGUGACAACCGGAGGAAGGUGGGGAUGACGUCAAGUCAUCAUGGCCCUUACGGCCUGGGCUACACACGUGCUACAAUGGUCGGUACAAAGGGUUGCCAAGCCGCGAGGUGGAGCUAAUCCCAUAAAACCGAUCGUAGUCCGGAUCGCAGUCUGCAACUCGACUGCGUGAAGUCGGAAUCGCUAGUAAUCGUGAAUCAGAAUGUCACGGUGAAUACGUUCCCGGGCCUU